GGAUUUAUUCUUUAAACAGACGGCCAUCUGUAUGGGGCCCCUCACCACCGGCCAGGGAGCUGCUGUGGGAGACGUGGGCAUGUUGAGCCCGUCCCACUUUUGUGUCCCAUUUGGGCCAAGCAGCCCCCGCGACCUUCUCCCAGAGAAACACUGCGCGAAGUGUCUCCUUCCGCUGCCCCAGGAGCUGCGACCCAGAAGACGGAGGAUGGAGGCUCCAGCCAAAGGUCACGUUCAAACGGUGUCUUGUUUGCUCAACUCCUGCCAAGGCCGAAAAGUGCACCCACGGACAGCGAUCUCUGUGUUCCUGCAGUUCCCAGCGCACGGUUGGCUACAGACCGGGCACCUGGCUCACAGCAGGCAAAACACCCAGCAGGGACGUGACCCCUAAGGUGGUGCCUCCCAGCGUGUGACCCAGGGGCCUCCAGCAUCAGCAUC